AAUCUUGGACAAUGGGCGCAAGCCUGAUCCAGCCAUGCCGCGUGAGUGAAGAAGGCCUUAGGGUUGUAAAGCUCUUUCGUCAGGGAAGAUAAUGACGGUACCGGAAGAAGAAGCCCCGGCUAACUCCGUGCCAGCAGCCGCGGUAAUACGGAGGGGGCUAGCGUUGUUCGGAAUCACUGGGCGUAAAGCGCACGUAGGCCGACUGUUAAGUCGGGGGUGAAAGCCUGGAGCUCAACUCCAGAACUGCCUCCGAUACUGGUAGUCUUGAGUCCGAGAGAGGUGAGUGGAAUUCCCAGUGUAGAGGUGAAAUUCGUAGAUAUUGGGAAGAACACCAGUGGCGAAGGCGGCUCACUGGCUCGGUACUGACGCUGAGGUGCGAAUGCGUGGGGAGCAAAC
rnacentral:rRNA from 1 species